CCUGUGGUUGCUGUGGCAUCACCGUGGACAGUGUGAUAUGAGCAGCAGACAGUGGCUCUCUCAGAAGUUCCAACUGCUGACGACAGGUGUGGUUUCCGGCUGGCUGUCCCCAAGCAUGAAGAACCCCGUCUAGAACAUGGCACCAAUACCCUGGCUUGACACAAAAUGAAAGCCGCUUUGCGGCGUGAUACCUAUAGACCCAACAGAUUUGGGCUUCCCUGAGACCCGUCUACCAGACAAGCAUGCUGCAAGAACAAAGCCGGGUGUCUGGGGACUCCUUGUCCCCGGAAGGAAUGAUGACAGGGGACGCUAGCCUGAUGGAAUGUGUCUGGGCCUUAAUGCCACUGCGAGGUAUCCACAGUGGCGUGAUAGGCUGUGGCUGUCUGUCUGAAGGGGUGUGACGGACAGAGAGAAAGCAACACUGUCACCUGUCACACUGGGGCCAUAUCUCAAACUCUCUUCUCACGACUGCCGGGCUCACAGGCUCACGUCACCACGCCUGGCUUCUAAGGUGCCGGGCACUGAACUGGGGCUUGGCCUGUGUGAGGCAUGUUCUGUGUCAGCCUGUUUGCUUGCCUGCUUGUUUGUUUUCGACAGGGAUUCUGUAGCAUACUGGUCUUGAAGGCCCCCAAUCCGCCUGCCUGCACCUCUCAAACACUGCGAUCACAGGAGUGUGCCGGCGUGUUUGAACUCCGCUUCAGGACCAUAGACAGAGCACCCCACACUCUCCCUCUCUCCCCUUGUGUGCUGAGCAAUGCACCUCCACCCACCAAGCAUGGUCACUGAGGUCCUCAGACCCCGGAAGGGGAUCCAGCCGCCAUCUGGAUGGGUGUGAGCUUAAGGUGCACCCAUCAGGCCUGCCCUGGCGUGUGGUACAAGAGGAGAGUUGCCAGCAAAAAAAUGAAUCUAGAUGACAAGGUCUUCCAGGGUCCUAAUAGGCUAGAGAGGGUUGGAGGUGUCACUGAACAGAACUGGACAUUAAGAGAUAUGGAUGUCCGUGACGAGAGCCAGGGUGUCACAGGGACCCCAGGCUGCAGCAUGGGUGGCAGGGGGCUCAGGCGGAGCCUUUGGUUGGAGCUUGGAGGGAGGCAGGGCUGUCACUCGGGCUGGGCUGUCACUGGAGGCCCCCCCCUCCCCGGAGCAAUCUGAAGAAAAGCGCAAAUGCAUCUGUGAGGUUCUCUUAAUGGGCUUAAUGCUGCUGGAGCUCUAAGGCCAGUCAUUUUGCU